rnacentral:rRNA from 1 species
GAGUAGUAAAAGUUAAGAUCUCGAAACUCAAAAAAUUUGGCGGUACUUUAUCUUAUCAGAGGAACCUGUUUAUUAAUUGAUAUUCCACAAUAAACUUACUUUUAUUAUAAUACUUGUAUACCGCUGUCAUGAGUAUAUUAAAAAAUUUAUGUUCUCUUUUAUGAAGUUUAUGUUAGGUCAAGGUGCAGUUUAUAAAGAAAAAUGGGUUACAUUAAAAGAAUGAAGAAAAGGGAUUUGGAAGUAAGAGUGUAGAAAUAGAUGAAUAUAGAUUCUAAAGUAUG